GUUGCUGCAGCUGGUGUUGUGAAUCAGGCCGACACAAAGCGCAUCUUACUAUCCGGCUAUUUCACUACACCAGGGUUGCAUCA
rnacentral:pre_miRNA from 1 species